rfam:Gossypium raimondii Chr01_contig_1258, whole genome shotgun sequence.
AUCCCAUGAUGAGGAUACUUAUGAAGUAACUCCUUGAAUCGCUCCUAAGCCUCAUACAAAGACUCAUCAUCCAAUUAUUGGAAGGUUGUGAUCUUGUUCCUCAACUU